CGUAGGUCAACUCUGCAAUGGGAUGCGGGAUCCGAAGCCCUCCAAGGGAUAAUAUAGGCUCUCCUAUCCAACUCCUAUUCCGAUAUGUCCUCGUCGUGCAGAGUGGUUACAUGUGCCUCCAUAUAUCCUAGAUCCAACCCCUUGGGCAGAUGGUGGCAUAUGGCGAACCAGGAGGGG
rnacentral:ribozyme from 1 species